rnacentral:rRNA from 1 species
GAUGAACGCUGGCGGCGUGCCUAACACAUGCAAGUCGAGCGAAGUGCUUAAGACUGAUUCCUUCGGGAUGAAGACUUAAGUAUCUUAGCGGCGGAUGGGUGAGUAACGCGUGAGAAACCUGCCUUUCACAAGGGAAUAGCCUCGGGAAACCGGGAUUAAUGCCCUAUGACACAUUAACCUCGCAUGAGGAUAAUGUUAAAGCGUAAAGCGGUGAAAGAUGGUCUCGCGUCCCAUUAGCUAGUUGGUGAGGUAACGGCUCACCAAGUCGACGAUCGGUAGCCGGACUGAGAGGUUGAACGGCCACAUUGGGACUGAGACACGGCCCAGACUCCUACGGGAGGCAGCAGUGGGGAAUAUGCACAAUGGGCGAAAGACCUGAUGCAGCAACGCCGCGUGAGGGAAGACGGUUUUCGGAUUGUAAACCUACUGUUUUCGGUGACGAACAAAUAGACGGUAACCGAGUAGGAAGCCACGGCU